UCAGAGGGCACGCCUUGUUGUUUAACAAAGACUGUCAGUGAACAAGAUUAAUAAGAGGCGAAAUGGACAUUGAGUCACUGAGAGGUCAAACUGAAGUUAUCUCUGUGUAACUAUUAAAGAAAGGUAGCCAGAGCGGUUCUGAAGCUGUGGAACCGCACGAGGCUCACAUAGUUUAAUACUAACUUGAAGCUCGCGUGGAUACAGGAGUUUUCAGUUCAGGCUGGCUGUUGAUUCACUACAUGGAAAUGUUAAGGAUAAAGAAACAUUACAUGGGAACUACCUGUCGCGCAAACGAUGUGUCAUUAUUUUGGUUUAUCUGGUCCUGGCAUAUAAGCUUCAGGGUCUGGGAUAAUAUUUUGCUCACGAACUUACACAAGAUCUCCAAAUAAAUGAAUGUGCCCCAUCACUAAGCCUACGAGAGACCGUGUUUUGCUUAAGGUUCACCCGUAGAGCCCAUUGGCGAAGAGGUGUCACGUGACUACGUCGAGCCAAUGUUCUUCUACGAAGGUGUCAGGACCUUGUCAGAAAGUGAAAUAAACAUUGGGAAACGGCGAGAUGCAAAAAGCGACCUAUUGCGACGGCUCGGCAAUUUACAGUGGCUUCCCCUAUCAAAGCGCAAACGGUUUAGGUUAUGAUGCCAGUCAGCAGCAAUAUCUCCAGGCCCUUCAUGUGGAAAGUGAGUACCAUCGACCGGCCUGCUCCCUGCAGUCCCCUGGUGGCUCUGCGGCUCUGCACAAACCCAGUGAAAUCUCCGAGGGCUGCCAACGGAGUAACGGGACACAAGCCCUAGUACCAGAUAUCCCCGACAACAACCAGCC